GCCGCCAUAGCUCAGAUUGGUAGAGCGGCUGCCUUGUAAGCAGCGGGUCCGGGGUUCGAUUCCUCGUGUCGGCACCA
rnacentral:tRNA from 3 species